CAAAUUUUCAGACAUCUUCUCCCCCUCUCUUUAUCCUCCUCACUUCACCGAAUGUACUACUCUGUAUCAAGCUCGCACUACCAAAUCCAUCCAUGAACUAGAGUUUUCGAUUGUCUUCCAUAAACAAUUAGUGCAAGCACUUUCAAUUUGGGUUACUUUGUUGAGCUCGCACCACCAACAUCCCUAAUUCAGAGCUUGAUACAUUGGCUUGGUGGCAAGAAAUUAGAAAUUAGGGCUUGAAAACUUGGGUGAAAGCUGAAGUUUAGAGCUUGAAGCUUGGGGAAAACGGGAAGUUAGGGAUUGAAGGCAUAGUUUGAGCACCUGAUCCAUCUCUGGCCUCUCCGUUUGACCAAACACUAAUCUUAGGUUGUAGUCCUUGGAUCGCCUCAGCAUUGUAGUGCUGGUGGAUUCAAUGAAGAUGAGGCUCGCUUUUUCUUCCAGCAGCUAAUAUCUGGUGUUAGUUACUGUCAUUCAAUGGAAAUCUGUCACAGGGACUUGAAGCUGGAAAACACACUUUUGGAUGGGAGUCCAACACCACGUCUUAAAAUAUGUGAUUUUGGUUAUUCUAAGUCCGGUUUGUUGCACUCACAACCCAAAUCGGCAGUUGGAACACCAGCAUAUAUUGCACCUGAGGUCCUGUCAAGGAAGGAAUAUGAUGGCAAGUACAAUGCUAUUAAAUGCUCUUGAGGAGAUGAAAAAGGUUGGCUUUUGGAUAUGCUCAUGAAGAUGACUUCAGUUUGACACAAAUUGCUGCUUUAGUCUAUGUUUUUGUUUGGAAAGAGUACUUUAUUUUUUUGGAUGCGUAAUGGCUGUUACUAGUUGAACUGAUGUGAAUUUAGUACUCUAUUGUUUGGAUGGAUAAUGGCUGUUAGUACUUGAACUAAUGUGGGCUUUGGAACCCAUUUUGGUUAAUGUGUGUUGUGAUGAAUUUAGAGAUGUUUAUAACCAUAUAUAUAUAUUUGAGGGUUCAUUGUACAUUAA